rnacentral:ncRNA from 1 species
AUGACCGACGCCAAAGAGCCGGACGCUCAGGCGGGUUAUGAAAAGGGCUAUACCGUUGCCCUGGCCGCACAGGCCGGGGCGGACAUGAUCAACCUCAGCGUCG